rnacentral:rRNA from 1 species
UACGGGGGGGGCAAGCGUUGUCCGGAAUUAUUGGGCGUAAAGCGCGUGUAGGCGGCCAGAUAAGUCCGCUGUGAAAUCUCGAGGCUCAACUUCGAGCUGUCGGUGGAAACUGUCUGGCUAGAGUCCGGAAGAGGAGAAUGGAAUUCCUGGUGUAGCGGUGAAAUGCGCAGAUAUCAGGAAGAACACCCGUGGCGAAGGCGGUUCUCUGGGACGGUACUGACGCUGAGACGCGAAAGCGUGGGGAGCGAACAGG